ensembl:Mt_tRNA
UAGAUUGAAGCCAGUAGUUGGGUGUUUAGCUGUUAACUAAAAUUUUGUAGGUUUGAAUCCUGCCAAUCUAG